rnacentral:rRNA from 1 species
AGGACGAGCGCUGGCGGCGUGCUUAACACAUGCAAGUCGAGCGGAAAGGCCCUUCGGGGUACUCGAGCGGCGAACGGGUGAGUAACACGUGAGUAACCUGCCCCUAGCUCUGGGAUAGCUCCGGGAAACCGGGAUUAAUACCAGAUACGACCACUUUAGACAUCUGUCGUGGUGGAAAGGAUUCCGGCUAGGGAUGGGCUCGCGGCCUAUCAGCUUGUUGGUGGGGUAACGGCCUACCAAGGCGACGACGGGUAGCCGGCCUGAGAGGGCGACCGGCCACGACUGGGACUGAGACACGGCCCAGACUCCUACGGGAGGCAGCAGUGGGGAAUAUUGCGCAAUGGGCGAAAGCCUGACGCAGCGACGCCGCGUGGGGGAUGAAGGCCUUCGGGUUGUAAACCCUUUCAGCAGGGACGAAGCGAAAGUGACGGUACCUGCAGAAGAAGCGCCGGCUAACUACGUGCCAGCAGCCGC